CAGCAAACACAUAAAGCAACACAUUCUGACAAAACAGACGUGACCUGGAGCUUGUCAAACGGUUGUUUCCUGGAUCUGUGGAACAGAAACGCCUCGUUGACUGGUUGGAGGCAACUUGGGAUUCAGCAUCUUGUCUCAGGAUAUUCAACAUGCUGCUCUCAACUGUUUCCUUGUUUCCAGUCUGAGUGAUUGGCUUUCACUCAGACUGGAAACAAGCUAAUUGACUGCAUGCAUAAAGAAGAGUUGCAAGGGUCUUCUGACUCAAUUCUUAGAAUUUUAAUAGGCUUUAAUAUGUUUUCAAAUAACUUAAACACUGGAAGUAGCAUAACGCAGUACACACAUCAUCCAAAAGCAAAGGCAAAAUUAUUCAGUAAGUUUCACUUACUUGUAACUGAUAAGUGUAAGAGGUUUCGGUGUCUCCCGGCUCUCAGGCACAUCCACGGCUCCCUCAUCACAUCUGGUGCCAAGAUGGCAACAGCUGGAACGCCAAACUCAACGACAGGCCACAAACCAACUGCUGACACCAAGAUAGCUCCUUUCACUUCCUGCCAUCCUUUUGUGGCUUUUAAAUGUAUUUAUUCAUUAAUCGAUUUUCUUAAUUCCAUAUUCAAUUCAGAGUUGCAAGGGGCAGGAGCCUCUCCAACACCCCGGAUGGGUUGCCAAUCUGUUCCAGGGCUAACACAUAAAGACAGACAACUGUUCACACUCACGUUCACACCUAUGCCCAAUUUAGAAUGACCAAUUAAGAUAACCCCAUGCAUGUCUUUGGAGUGUGGGAGGAAGCUGGAGUACCAGGCAGACACACAAAGAAAGGUCCUGUUGGAUUCAAACAAUUUGAGCUAUUUAAUUGUACGUUUUUAUCAUCUACAGACUGGCAAUAUUCAAAACAAAAUAUAAUUUAUAUAUAAUUACAGUAUGCUGUACUGUUUAAUGACAAAUUUUUAUUUGUACUUUACAUAAGAACAGAUAAUGGAUUAUAUAAAGGUUAUUCAAAGGCACCAUGGAUGUAUUUUCUUCAUUUUUAGGUAAUUUUCUCUGUUUCGGUGAAUUUUAUUAUAGGGGUGUUCUAUAUUUAGCCUUAAAUGGCAAUUUGUUGUCAACUUGAAACCUUUCUCCUAAACCUCACAGACCAAACUUCCCACAUAAAACAGUUUUUUUUGUGAGGGUUAAACAGAAAAUCUGUCAUUCUUCUGGCUCUUACGGACAUAUAUAGUCAUCAAAUUCUUUUCAAAGAAAACAGCUAGUGAUUACAUUCAUAUUUAUGAAAAGCAUUUUGAGACACUUGAUAAUUUAUUACAGCAUUUUAUAACUUUUUAUAAUAAUCUGCGAUGGA